UUUGUGGCAAACCACAAAUAACCGAAUUGUAUAAAUAGAGUCCUACCUGAUAGCCUUAUUUCUCAUGUCGCUCAAGCUGCUGUUAUUUUAUUUUGGCUGCAGUAAAGUGUUCGUAAUUUCCCCCACUAUUAUUUUUUUGCAUUAUCUACUAAUAAAUUUUCUUGUAGGAUAUUAUUAAAAAUAAUCAAUUUACAAAUUGAUUAGUGGUUUACUGCAAGGCAAUAAUCCCUAAACUGAAAUCACCUUGGCUGCAAAGUUUAAUAACUUUUCUUGUUAUCUUCUUCACUAACAGGUGCUAUAGGAGAUAAGGAGUUUCUUAUUUACUAUUCUGGCAUUCUGAGAAGUUGUUCCAUGGGAAGAAGGAGCUCCAGUUUCAUGAUGCAUACGAAGAGAUUAUCCACCAGGUAUAUUUCACUUGCGCGAGGAGCUCCAUUUGAUGAAACAGGGCGUCUGUUCAGCCACAAUGGACUUUGAUUGUUGAAUACUCAAAAACUUCUUGCAUUCAUCAGAGCCAGCUCCAAAAAAGAGAGAUAAAAAAUGUCUAUCUUGGAGGCACAGAGUUAUUUGAGAAUGUCUUUUUGGGAGCACCUAUUUGGUGAAAAAGGUUUGUGGUUUGUUUCUCCACUCUUAUAUACAGUUUAAUUCAUCCUCCAAAUAAUUCGUCAUGGCUCAUUUGUACACACUACCAUACUACUUUUAGUUUCUGAAAAAAUACUCUCUUGUUGUUUAAAUGCUUUAGUGAUCAUCUUAAUAUCAAUUACUGCUGAUAAGCUGCUGUGCAAAUAAUCAAUAACUUCACCUGUUAUGGUAAGUUCGCUGGUCCCAGAUAUUCCUAAAAUGCUAAAUCAUUUGUUUGGUUGAUGUAGAUUUUAGUUUUUGUUUAUUGUCCGUAUUGAUAAUAGUAAUAGAAUUGUUGAACUUUCUUCCAAAACUAAAUUAUUAUCUCUUCUGAAGUUCAAG